AAUGACUAUAAACAAAAAGGAGUCAUACCAUCACAAUCAUAGAUGCUCAAGAACUUGAUCAUGUAAAUGCAACAAUGUAAUUAUCAAUUGAAAGAAGGAACGAAUGAAAAAAAUAUUAGUAUGUUGUUGUCCAAAUAAACCUGCUUUGUCUUCUCAUUUGAAUCGCUCCAUCCAAUAAAGAUGUACGGAGGAAGAUCUUUGAAGAACAGAUUGAAAAAUGUUUUGUCUAAGAAUUGCGGGAAUAUUCUAGUGGAUGAAAUAAUUUAUUGACUUGACUCUUAUAUAGUGGACUGAAUAAUUGUACAUAGCAAGCAGCGAAAAAGAAAACUAAAACUUUAACACAAAAAGUGUUUAAAUUAUAAAUUUGCAAAUAUAAGCAUAAUAUUAUGUACACCACAAAGGUAUAUAAUUCAAAUUGUUUGCAUAUUCAUGUAUUGCAAUGAAACUAUAACAAAGAAAACCUUACUUCAUGAAAAGAGUAAACUAUUCAGUCAGAAUAUGAAAUAUUUUUUUUCAGUUCUAUUUUUCAUUAUAAAAUAAACA
rnacentral:lncRNA from 1 species